CGUAGGCGGCCGAUCAAGUCGGAGGUGAAAUCCCUCGGCUCAACUGAGGAAUUGCCUUCGAUACUGUUCGGCUUGAGUCCUGGAGAGGGUAGUGGAAUUCCCGGUGUAGCGGUGAAAUGCGUAGAGACCGGGAAGAACACCAGUGGCGAAGGCGGCUACCUGGACAGGUACUGACGCUGAAGCGCGAAAGCUAGGGGAGCAAACA
rnacentral:rRNA from 1 species